CAGGGCCGGGGACUGGGCUUCACUCAUGGAUGAUAAACAACAGCCGGAUUAGAACUGCUCCUGCACCUCCAACGUCUGCUGCCGAGGACAUCCAGAGCUGUUCCCAGGCCAGACCCCAGCUCACUGUUUCACGAAAGUGUGGGUGAUGGAGCAGGGCUGACAUGUGUCUCUAAGCUCCCAGGACCCAGCCCACAGCUGCUGAGGAAGCCACGCAGCCAGCUGUGUACGAGUGGGAGCGUCUUUGAAUACUUGAAAGUGCCUGUGGGCCCUUGCCUGUGUGCGUGCCUCUGUCCCCGCCUCCUGGCCGCUGAGCUGAGGGGAAGCUGAACAGGCCGAGGCUCACACCGCUGCCUCUGCUCCAGCUAGGAUGUGGCUCUUCCACAGUCUGCUCUACAUGACCAGCCUGGCUCCCCUGGAGGCCUUCAAUGUGGAUGUGGCCUGGGCCUGGGUGACUCCCGAGGGAGGCGCGCCUUACGUGCUCAGCUCCCUUCUGCACCAAGACACCAGCACCAACCAGACCUGGCUCCUGGUCACCAGCCCUAGAACAAACAGGACAGCAGAGCCCCUGCAUCGAUGUUCCCUCACCCAGGACGAGCUCUUUUGCCAACCAGUAGAGCAUGUCCCCAUCCCCAAGGGGAGGCACCGGGGAGUGACAGUUGUCGGAAACCACCACGGCGUUUUGAUCUGCAUCCAAGUGCUGGCUCGGCAACCCCACAGCCUCAGCUUGGAACUCACAGGCACCUGCAGCCUACUGGCCCCUGACCUCCGUCCCCAGGCCCAGGUCUCCUUCUCCGACCUUGAAAAUCUCCUGGAUCCUGAAGCACAUGUGGAUGCUGGAGACUGCUACAGGAGCAAAAAAGGCAGCACAGAGAACGCAGCCAGGCGACGCCGGGCUCUGAAGCCAGGUGACGAGGAGGAGGAAGAGGAGGAAGCAGCUGGCACUGAGAUCGCCAUCAUCCUGGAUGGCUCGGGAAGCAUUGAUCCCCCCGACUUCCAGAGAGCCAAGGACUUCAUCUCCAACAUGAUGAGGAACUUCUAUGAAAAGUGCUUUGAGUGCAGCUUUGCCCUGGUCCAGUACGGCGAAGUGAUCCAGACUGAGUUUGACCUUCAGGACAGCCAGGAUGUGAUGGCCUCCCUGGCCAGAGUCCAGAACAUCACUCAAGUGGGGAAUGUCACCAAGACUGCCUCUGCCAUGCAGCAUGUCCUAGACCACAUCUUCACGCCAAGCCACAGCUCCAGAAAAAAGGCAUCCAAGAUCAUGGUGGUGCUCACUGAUGGGGACAUAUUCGGAGACCCCCUCAACCUCACGACUGUCAUCAACUCCCCAAAGAUGCAAGGUGUUGAGCGCUUUGCCAUUGGGGUGGGAGAGGCAUUUCAGAAGGCUAAGACUGACAAGGAACUGAAGCUGAUCGCCUCGGACCCCGAUGAGACCCAUGCCUUCAAGGUGACCAACUACGCAGCACUGGAUGGGCUGCUGAGCAAACUGCAGCAGAACAUCAUUCCCAUGGAAGGCACGGUCGGAGAUGCCUUCCACUACCAGCUGGCACAGAUCGGGUUCAGUGCACAGAUCCUGGAUGAGGGGCAGCUGCUGCUGGGUGCCGUUGGGGCCUUUAACUGGUCAGGGGGCGCACUGCUCUAUGACAUGCAUGGUCGCCAGGGCCGCUUCCUGAACCAGACAGCGGCAGAUGCCAACGCUGCGCCAUUCAGCUACCUGGGUUACUCUGUGGCUGUUCUGCACAAGGCCUGUGGCCUCUCCUAUGUGGCGGGGGCUCCACGGCACAAGCAGCGAGGGGCCGUGUUUGAGCUCCAGAAGGAGGGCAGCGAGACCAACUUCAUGCCAGUGCUAGAAGGAGAGCAGAUGGGGUCCUAUUUUGGCUCUGAGCUGUGCCCUGUGGACAUUAACAUGGAUGGGACCACGGACUUCUUGCUGGUGGCUGCUCCGUUUUACCACGUUCAUGGAGAGGAAGGCAGAGUCUAUGUGUACCGUCUGAAUGAGCAGGAUGGUUCCUUCUCCUUGGCAUGCAUGCUGAGUGGGUACUCCGGGUUCACUGAGGCCCGAUUUGGCUUUGCCAUGGCGACAGUGGGGGAUAUCAAUCAGGAUGAGCUCACCGAUGUGGCCAUUGGGGCCCCCCUGGAGGGUUUGGGGUCAGAUGGUGGCACUAGCUUCGGCAGCGUGUACAUCUACAAUGGACGUCGGGAUGGCCUCUCCACCAGCCCCUCACAGCGGAUCAGAGCCUCGGCGGUGGCUGCAGGACUCCACUACUUCGGCAUGUCCAUGGCAGGUGGCUUAGAUUUCAGUGGCGACGGGCUUGCUGACAUCACCGUGGGUGCUCUGGGCCGGGCGGCCGUGUUCCGCUCAAGACCUGUGGUUCGCCUGAAGGUGUCCAUGACCUUCACCCCCGAGGCACUGCCCAUUGGCUUCAACAGUAGCGUGAAUGUGUGUUUGUGUUUUGAAAUCAGCUCUGUGACCACAGCUGCUGAGUCAGGCCUCAGAGAAUCAUCUCUGAACUUCACAUUGGAUGUGGACGUGGUGAAGCAGAGGAAGAGGCUGCAGUGUCCAGACAGGAGAACUUGUCAGAGCUACCUUAGGAAGUGGAGCAGCGAGUCCCGUCUUUGUGAGCCCCUCCUGCUCAUCCCCACAGAGGGAGAGCUGUGUGAGGAGGACUGCUUCUCCAACAUCAGUGUCAAGGUCAGCUACCAACUCCAGACCCCCGAGGGCCGGAGGGACCAUCCCCACCCUGUUCUGGACCUCUACACUGAACCCUCUGCCAUCUUCCAGCUGCCCUAUGAGAAGGCCUGCAGGAAUAAGCUGUUUUGCAUCGCUGAGCUACAGUUGGCCAUCACCACCUCUCAGCAGGAAUUGGUGGUGGGUCUCACAGAGGAGCUGACCAUGAACAUUAGCCUGAUUAACUCUGGGGAAGAUUCCUACAUGACAAGCAUGGCUUUGAAUUACCCCAGAAACUUACACUUUAAGAGGAUACAAAAGCCUCCUUCUCCAAACAUUCAGUGUGAUGACCCCCGGCCAGCUGCUUCUGUCCUGGUCAUGAACUGCAGGAUCGGUCAGCCUGUCCUCAAGAGGGCGUCUGCAAACUUUUCAGUAGUUUGGCAGCUAGAGGAGAAUGCCUUUCCAAACAGGACAGCCAACAUCACUGUGACAGUCACCAAUUCCAAUGAAGGGAGGUCCUCGGUCAGGGAGACCCACAGCCUUCAAUUCAGGCGCGCCUUCAUUGCAGUUCUUCCCAAACCAUCAGUGAUGUACAUGAACACAAGCCGGGGACUUUCUGACCACAAAGAAUUCCUCUUCAAUAUACAUGGGGAAAAUCGUUUUGGAGCCAAAUUUCAGCUGCAAAUUUGUGUUCCCAUCAAAUUACAAGGUAUCCAGCUUGUAAGAGUGAAGAACGUGACAAAGACUCAGGCUUACACUGUGUGCAGCCAGAGUCAGCAGGGCGCUUGUGGGAGCGAUCCGGUUCAGAGUGUGGAGGAAUGGCAUUCAGUAAGCUGUGCCAUCACUUCGGAUAAAGAAAAUGUCACUGUGGCUGCAGAGCUCUUCUUGAGUCAAUCCGAGCAGGUCACUGUCAUCUUCCUGAAAGAUGAGGAGUAUUACUCCUUGCCUGUCGUCAUCGGAAGCAGUGUUGGUGGCCUUCUGGUUUUGAUUGUGAUUAUAGUCGUCCUAUUCAAGAAAGAAGAGGUGUGGUGAACAUCUUUAAACAUGGAUCCUUCCUGGCGUGCUUUUCAAGUGUGCUCUUGGUUAAGUUCCGAGCACAAUUACUGGGCCAAAGAACUGGUGGAGCUCUGAGAAGGUACCUCUGUGCCUGAUGUCACUGGGAUUGCCCUGCGUGCUCUCUGCUGCAGCUGCACGCCUGCCUGUGGUCCUGCCCUGCCACCCUGCUUUGGGCAGUGUCUGGGGCUUGGUUGGAGAGCCCGUCCUUGUCUCCUGGAGUCCCUCAUGUACCUCUGUUAAAUUCCCAGGCUGCUUGGCGUGACCAGCUUUCCCCUUGAUCUGAUUGCAUCUGCUUCAUUUCUUUCAGGAAUUCCUUUGUAAGUUUGGUUCUGUUUCCAGGGCUGACACAGGCUUUCUCCCGCUUUCUGUUUCUUGGGUUGUCUCAGUGGGAUGUGUUUUUGAAGGAAAAGAAAGAGGUAAGUUUGCUUAGCUCUUUCCCUGCUGUUGGGCUCAGGAGUUGUGUCCAAGUUUUCAAUGUUACAGGUGACGUGGAGCCCCUGUUUUUAUACUUUUUUAUUGCAAAUAAGACCCCACUCCCAUUGUAACAGUCAGGGCUUAUGUUGAGCACCUGUGAGCAUCUGGCUGACUAAGCAGUGCUGAUCUGACUGGCAUUGGACCCGCACAGCAGCAGUCAGGAGACUACAGAUGGGAGUGGUUGGCGAGGAGGCAGAGCCUUGAAAUGGAGACCAAGUCGCCUGCUGUGGCUUGGGCCAAGGCCUUCUCUUUCUUCUAAAAGAUGCCUUUCUAGUCCUAGGCCUUUCCUGUUUGCUGUCACCCUCCUCUGCCUGGGAACAGGAAGUGUCAAAGCUUGCAUAGAUUCAGAACAGUGGGUCAUGGCCACUGUCCUGGUGAGAGAAGGACCACUAUGGGGCCAGCUGGGCACUAGUAUUGGGAUAAAAGCCCCUGUGGUUUCUGUUUUCCUUUCUCCUGUUACACGUAGGCUGGUGAGUGCAGAUUUCAGCAACUUUUUCUCUUGUGAUCACAUCUGAACUCUGGGGUUUGGUUGUUGGAGGGGUGAAAUCAAGCAGAUGUGAAGACCUAAGUCUGUCAAACUUUGCAGGCCUAAUUAGAUUUUGAGAAAGGGGUACUUCCUGUGGCUGAGCCCAGGAGGCUUAUGAUCUGCACUGGUGUAUUAUUCUAUGCACAUCUUCUCUAAUACCCUUACGAGGAGGGGUAUUUGGUUAAGAUCAGGGUUUAGGUAUUUUUGGGUCUCCUAACCAUGCUUAUAACCUUGUAAUAGUGCCAGAAUUGUACAUUCCUUUAAGAACAGAUUUAGGAAACUGAGUCAAGGAAACAGUUAAUCUCUUCAGGAAGAGUAGUUGUUCUAACAUCAGAGCUCAGGAGGUAGCUGGAUGCACCUCAAUAGACAAUUCCCAACUUCAGUUGACUUGAUUUUUUUUUGAUUAGUGGGAGAACAUUUUGAAAAGUACAUAAGUAAUACAUGGAUACACUCAUAGUAAAAUCAGAGUAAAAGGGGAGAAUUUGCCUUUGUUACAGCCUUGCCCCACCCUGUGCCCCCCUUAGAAGCUGGGUGAACUGGUUCAGCAUGUACUCUUCCAGGCCGCCAUAUUCUGUGCCCUUGUAAAUCUUCACGUGUACAAAUACAGUAUAUAGAUUUUAAGGUUUUGUUUGUUUUACAUAAAUAGCAUCAUAUAUUCUUCCAUUUGUAAUAAUUGGUGACCAUUUUCAAGAAACUAGUGUCAGAGACAAAUGCUGCUGCCAAAUGCAGGGUAUGUGGGGGUGGAGACGACACCUUGGGUCAACAUGUCUUUGGGGAGUUAAUAAAUUUGUAUAGCUUUUUACAAUUUGUCAAGAUGCCCUUUCAGCUUUUUCCAAAAGUGGAAUUAAAGGCAUUUUUGUAAUUGUCGUACCAUGCCAAAUAACUUUCCAGAAGGACUGAGCCACGUUACGUGGUUAUCAGCAACAUGAAUGUAUCCUGGGGUCUCCAUCUUUAGUUAGCUUGUUUCCUUGCUGGGUACAUAAUGAUACCUUUAGUUUACUUUUCCUUGAUUGUUGGCAAGACGAUGUAUUCUCCUAUGAAACAAGAUGACAUUUUUCCCCCUCUAUGCUUUAUUUUUUCUUUCUUGUCCAGUUAAAAUGCGGCCCUGGCAUUUUCUCAUUAGCCCUUUCUGAACUGCAUCAGCUUCUGGGAUAGAAAUAAGAGGUUCAUUUCUCCCUCUGAACUUCGGAGCCUCUGGGCGAAUAAGGGUGAUUUGACCCAGAAUUAGAGAGCAGUGUGCCCUCCGGAAUAGGGGAACUAAGUGGUGCUGAUCUGCUGGUGGGCGAUAGGAGGCAGUAGUCAUUGUUAGUGGCCUGUCUAAUGGAGGAGCUCCAUCUGAGUGCUACAGAGAAGCCAGGACCACAGCAUCAGCCCCCAGGAGAGAGAGCUGGAGGCUCUGCGUCUCCCUCUCCCCUCUCCCUGAGGGAGGAUUCUGGGUCUGGUUGGUCAACUCCUAGGACCCUCUUGCUGGUUGCAGUCCAGGGCGGAGUGAUGGGGCUGCAGGUAGGCAGGGGCAGGUUGAAGGUGUGGCCUCCGUGGAUGCCUCCUCUUCUGUCCAGGGCCUGGGAAGGAGCCUGGACCAGCCCUGCCACAGCACUGGCAGGUAUUCUUGGACUCUUGGCCUUGGUUUCCCGGGUUUGACUAGUGUGCUACCCUGAGGUAGUCUUUCUAUUCUUUAGAGCUGUGAGGUCUGAGAUUAAGGUUGGACUGCUGGGGUGGAAGAAAACACUCCUGGCCCACUUUGUUUCUGCAGACCUUUUAGAUUUCCUAGUCUGGACAAAGCCUGCCAGCCUCACUGCUGGAGUUCUACGCUGGGGCUGGGGGUCCUUUGCCUCCUGGGUGAAGAGCUCGCUGAGGGGAUGGCUAGCUGGCUAAGGACCCUAGCACCCCUAGGCCGGGGGUUCUAACUUUUUCGUGUUCCACAGCCCCCUCUGGCAGUCUGGUGAAGCCUAGGGACCCCUUCUCACAUUUUUUUCCCCAACGCUGUUAUGAAAAGGUUCAAACAUUUAGAAAGAUUGUAUUUUACAAUUGUGAACACGUAUCUACCCGCCACUUAGUUUCUACCAUUAACAUUUUAUUAUGCUUGCCUUAUCACAUAUUUUUCCACCCACCCAUCCAUCAGCUUGUUUUUAGAUACAUAAAAGUUUAUAAAGAACCAAUUAUAUUGAACUACAGUGAUUGGGAUAUUUUUCAAAAUUUAUGAUGUGGAGGUACAUGUGCUUCUUUAUCAAUGCAUUAAAGCAGCAGAUCUGAUAACUACCCUACUUUCAAAGUAAUGAUGAGCUUACAAUGUAUUUUGAGAUUUUUGCGAUAGCUGGCAUGUGAGGGGAAAGUAUCUGCAGUUUCUACUGGUGUCAAGAUGCAGGUACUGCUGAUGCUACUGUGGCUUUUGCAUACGCUCAGGAUUGAAGGAGAUGUUAAAUUUCAGUUGAAGGGUGGUACGAUAAAUAGGUAACCUGUUUUCCAUCCAGCUUCACAGAUCUCCUCCUGUGUGUACUCUGGUCCCUUUAACAAGCGUGGUCCCACGCUGGGCUUGUCCCUGAGCAGCCAGUCUUCAUGAUCCCUCUGUUCCUGGAGGAGGAAACAACUUGCCCGAGGCCACAGGGCUAGUGUAAGGCAGAGCCAUUGUCCCACUAGCAGGUUUUUGGAUCUCCAGGUCUAAUAUUUUUUCCACAAAAGCUUUAUUACAGACUGGGCAAGGCACAGGUGACACCCCGGUGAGCGGCUGGUUUCAGACUUUGCUGGGCAGCUCGUCAGCCUCCUUGCCCCACCUGCUAAAGGCUCUGAUGCUCCGCCCGGCUUGGGCCUGGGCAUCUGCUGUUUUGACAAGCCCUUCCAGGUGAUGCAAGAGCCACACCCUGUGAGAUGCUAGUUAUGAGAUCAGACUUUGUUCGUCUGAUUCCACUUUGUCCAUGCGAGCUCUCAGCACACACUUGGAGUCUUGAUGACUCAUAAGUUGCUUCAGGAGACAAAUUUAACUUAAUGCUCUGGUAGAAUUAUCUCUGGUGAAAUCUUCUAUGAAUAUAUACUCCAAAAAAAAGGCUUAGUCACUCUACCCGAGACACUUCAAAUAUGCAGGCUAAUGGGCAGAGGCAGGGUGAUCAGGAGUCAGCCUUCCCUCCCUGCUUCCCCAUCCUCCUGAAGUAGGAUGACACCCGCCUCACAUGGGCCGUGUGGUACCAAAAGCGGUAAAGCCCUUUCCUGCCCUCAGCCCUAGACGACAGGUAAGGGAUAUACUCAACUGUGACUCCGUAAAUCAAACAGAUCCUGUCCUUUGGGAAUUUAGAGGAGAGGGAUCCAGGAGGCCGUAGGGAAGGAGACACACAGACACCUGUACGCUGAGCCUUGAAGCCAUGGAGGAGUGCGGGGAGGCCGGCCUGGGUGGAGGCACGGAGGUUGGCAAGUGAAGGAUGUGGUAAAGCAUGUUAGUCCAUUUGGCUGAAGCUGAGUGUGCGUAACGGGGCAUGUGAGGCCAGAAAGUCAGGAGGGGACAGUGACUGCAAUAAGCAAUGAGAGUCUGCGGAAGAAUUGUGUACAGGAAACGAAGGGAAGCCACAGCCACUCCCGGUGUCUUAUACAAGCAGUUCCUACUCGUUCUCGUUUUGUUGCCACUGCAGUCCUGUGAACUUAGAGCGGAGGGGAGGGGAUGGACGUGAGUCGCGAGGGCUCUGGGGAGACCACUGCAGGGAGCGGGAGGAAGAGCAAGAUGAGCUUUGCUCUAAGACGUCGUGUUAGAGUCGUCGCUGCCUUGUGAGUUUGGUUGACUUGAGUUUGCAUCUUUACCCGUUUUGGUGCCUAGUGAACCAGCAUUUGGCUCUUUACUCUUUUUAUGUGUUUGAGACCUCAGCGGGGUUUUUCCCUGGGUCAGAUUUUGACAACUAAGGAACGAGUAACAGCCCCUCAGUGAAGCUGGGUCAGGGAGCAGCGGAUGGACUCAGAAAGCCUCCCCACAGCGGGGGACACGCCCUCUACCUUUUUCCUGUUGACUAUUUGAAAUGACAUGAAUAAUGCAUCUGCUACUUCUUAAAUGGACCAGAAAUGUCUAUUCAUGAAAUGUGUUUAACAUAGCAGGACUGCCAGACUGAAAGGAAAAUUAAAGGAUAAAUUGCUUUGUGGGGCCCUGUGUGAAACCCUUCCCACACCCCGCCCUUCCCGCUCCUGUCCCUCCCGGCCAUCCAGGAUACUCAGGAUACUCAGGACUCGGAGGGAAGGCCCUCCUCAUCUUGCGAUGGCUCCUUUUGUGCCCUGGGACAGAUUUAGACCUCCUACCGCUAGGCCUUGCAUGAGCGCUCCUCUCCUGUGGGGUGGGAACUAGAACUGCAUUCCUAUAUGUGAGUAAUGUGUGAACCUCUACUCCAAGAACCAUACUAUUUUAUGGCA